rnacentral:rRNA from 1 species
GGAAUUUUCCGCAAUGGGCGAAAGCCUGACGGAGCAAUACCGCGUGAGGGAUGACGGCCUGUGGGUUGUAAACCUCUUUUCUCAAGGAAGAAGUUCUGACGGUACUUGAGGAAUAAGCAUCGGCUAACUCUGUGCCAGCAGCCGCGGUAAUACAGAGGAUGUAAGCGUUAUCCGGAAUCACUGGGCAUAAAGCGUCUGUAGGUUGUUUAGUAAGUCUGCUGUUAAAGACUGGGGCUCAACCCCAGAAAAGCAGUGGAAACUGCUAGGCUAGAGUAUCGGAGGGGAGGACGGAAUUCCUGGUGUAGAGGUGAAAUUCUUAGAUAUCAGGAGGAACAACGGUGGCGAAGGCGGUCCUCUGGACGAUUACUGACGCUGAGGUGCGAAAGCGUGGGGAGCAAACAGGAUUAGAUACCCCAGUAGUC